UACAAUUCUCAGGAUCGUUUGGUGGCUACAACAAAAACCUAAUAAAAAUAAAACUCGAUCCCUUCGGCAAUCCAAAUGAAGCCUAUUUAUAACAAUGUUUGGGAAAACCUUAAAACAUAAAACGACAACGUAAAAGCGGUUCAAAGGUUGUUUUGGCUAAGUUGGUCGAGUGAGCACCUCGAGUGACCAUCUUCUCUGCUUUGCUCGAUCAUGUCACUCGAGUGAUCGUGUCGAGUGACCUGUAAAACCAUCAGCUA
rnacentral:lncRNA from 1 species